AAACCGUUCGGGGGUAAACGGACGGAGGCCGUCAUGCGAGCGGGCGAAUUCAAGACCGAUCUACCCGGUUGCCCGGGUUGGUCGUUUUGAUGUUUCGCCCGCUGUUUUCGCACGUCGCGACUCGUGGGCCACCGGUUUAAGAGCGGCGCGCCUUUCGAGGACGUUCCGCGUCGCGGAUUUUACGCCUCCGGGUGUAAAAACCGCGGCGGGAUCCUCGGUGUGCCCGGCUCGGGCCGGUGUUUGUCUUUGCCUACGGUAGGGAGAUGGCGGCGCGGCCGUCGGCGCCUUUAAAAGCGCCGGCGGCUCGUCAGUCGGCGACGAAAUGUUUCGGCGCUCCUUCCGA
rnacentral:rRNA from 1 species